CUUCGGUCANNAAGGGANNNCGGCCCAUUAUUUAAUCCUAGUUGGUAAGGUAACGGCUUACCAAGGGUACGAUGGGUAGCUGGUCUGAGAGGAUGAUCAGCCACACUGGGACUGAGACACGGCCCAGACUCCUACGGGAGGCAGCAGUGGGGAAUAUUGCGCAAUGGACGAAAGUCUGACGCAGCCACGCCGCGUGAGUGAUGAAGGCCUUAGGGUUGUAAAGCUCUGUCGGGAGGGNCGAAGGUAGUUUACUACUUGACGGUACCUCGCAAGAAA
rnacentral:rRNA from 1 species